AGUGAAGUGCCUGAAAAAGGGCUAUUGUGAUAGAAUAAAUAAUGUAAUAUUAAAUAUUACCUUCACUA
rnacentral:tRNA from 1 species